AUAGAAAUAACCCAUUCGAUGGCUCACAUAGAUACAAACCUAAUAUUAGAUUUUCUCUACAGUAGAUUCAACACUUAAAUAUUGAUAUGUAUGAAUAUGAUAUACAUUUAAAAGAUAAAUAUGUAAAGUUCAAAAACAAGUGAAACGAGAAAAUAAUUAAUUUUUAUUAAAGAGAAGUAUGACUUAGGUUAAAUUAUCAAUGAAAGCCAAUUAAUAAUUACCAUUAUUUAAAACUAGUAAGAGAAUUAAUGAGUGAAAAGAUGAGAGGCUUUCUUUAAAAAAAAAUAUAGAAUAUAUUUUGUCCAAAAGUGGUAAUGUAAAAUCGAUCGAAAAUAUGAAAAAGGAAUGAAUGCACAUGUCUCUUACAAAUAACCAGUUUUCUUACGCGAUGUUGCAUCUUAUUACGUUCGAAUUUAUGUUUGUUUUCUUUUAGACGUAACAGUGGCGAAUUAUCGUGAAAGCGCUCACAUAAUACUCAAAAUAAAAUGCGUAUAUAUAAACGGAUGUUAAAUCAGAGCCAUGGAUCUGUCUAGUAGAGAAAGUAACUAGUUUCCUUUUCCUGGUUCGUAUAUAUCUUUUUUUCCCUUUUUGUACAUUCAUUGAUAAAGCCGAAUAAGGAUGUAAUAUAUUUAUAGAAAAUUUUUAGAAUGUUUAUUUUAUAGGCCAAAAUAAAUACGAAAAUUGAUAUGUAAAAAUAUUCAUUAAGAAUUAAUAAUUUAUCAAGUAAUUUAAAUUUAUGUUAGAUGAAAAUAGAUAGAAAUACUAUAAAACGACAAUGUGACAAAGAUAAAACAAUUUUACUCUACCUUUCUUUUGUUUCAUAUAACAAAUUCAAUAUGAUUUCUAAUAAGAAUGAUAUUAUUGUUGAUUUGAAUUUUUAUUAUUGAAUUUUUGAAAGUAAUCAUUCUAUAUUUUUUAUCAUGUUUCUUAUGAUUGUUAUUUAACAUAUUUUACAUGCUAAAAUGUACAAUAUAUAUGUAAUAAAUCGUGUCUGAGUGUAAUAAAAUACAUAAUUUUUGAUAAAAUAUUUUUACUUGUAUAUUUAUAAAUAUGUCUUUUACGUGUAUAUAUACAUAUAUAUCUACAUUAAGUUGAUGCAUAUAAAAUCCCGUUUUUUUCACAAUAAAAAAUUAAUAAUAAUAUUUAUUGUUUUAAUUACCAUUGAAAAAAUUUGAUCCAAACUACAUAAUUGAAUAAUAAUAAAAAAUAAUAUAAAAUUAUAAAUCUUUCAAUAUUCAAUUUUUUAUAUGAAUUUAAAAAAUUAUAGAAAAAAUUAUUGAAAAAAUAUAUAUAAAAAUAUUUAGAAAAGAAUGGAGAUUUCUUACUCGAUAAAUUGUUUUGAAAUGAUAUAAUGAAAAAAUAUGUAAAUAAGAAACUAGAAGAAAAAUUAUAUCGAAUAAUUCAUAUAAAUAAACUAAUUAUUGGUUAAGAAAUAUAUGCAUAUAAUAAAAUUUGAAUAUUAUGAUAAUUAAAUAAAAUUAUUUUAAUUAAAUAUAUGAUGUUUCGAAAAAAAGAUUUAUUUAAAAAAGUAACAUUUUAUAUGUACCAAUAUUGUACCAAUAUGUACCAAUCUUCGUUGCGAAGUCAUCAAUGGAAUUUAGAAACACGUUUUUCAUAACGUUAAAUUUUAAAUGAUGUUAGAUUAGAAUCUGAUUUAUUAUGUUAUCAUCGUUUAUUUCAUAAUUUGAGCAAAAUCUAAUCAUUGAAAAAUAAGAAAAAAAAAUGACAAAUGAAAAAUGAUUGGAAGAAAGAACAUCAAAGCAUUUUUUUUUUUUUUUUUUUGAUUUUCAAAGUAUUAUCAGCACAUGAUAGUUUCGCAUCCAUUUCACAAAAUAAGAAUCAGACAAAACGUCAACAAUUAUAAAUAAGAAACAAACAAAAAAAAAAAAGAAGAAA